AUUGAACGCUGGCGGCAUGCUUUACACAUGCAAGUCGAGCGGCAGCGCGGGGGCAACCCCUGGCGGCGAGCGGCGAACGGGUGAGUAAUGCAUCGGAACGUACCCUGGAGUGGGGGAUAACGCCGCGAAAGCGGCGCUAAUACCGCAUAUGCUCUGAGGAGGAAAGUGGGGGACCGCAAAGGCCUCACGCUCUGGGAGCGGCCGAUGUCCGAUUAGCUAGUUGGUGGGGUAAAGGCUUACCAAGGCGACGAUCGGUAGCUAGUCUGAGAGGAUGAUCAGCCACACUGGGACUGAGACACGGCCCAGACUCCUACGGGAGGCAGCAGUGGGGAAUUUUGGACAAUGGGGGCAACCCUGAUCCAGCCAUGCCGCGUGAGUGAAGAAGGCCUCCGGGUUGUAAAGCUCUUUGGUCGGGAAGAAGCGCCUUGCCUAAUACGCGAGGUGGUUGACGUACCGGCAGAUAAGCACCGGGCUAACUACGUGCCAGCAGCCGCGGUAAU
rnacentral:rRNA from 1 species